AUAGCGCUGGCGGCGUGCCUAAUACAUGCAAGUCGAGCGAACAGAAGGGAGCUUGCUCCCGGAUGUUAGCGGCGGACGGGUGAGUAACACGUGGGUAACCUGCCUGUAAGACUGGGAUAACUCCGGGAAACCGGAGCUAAUACCGGAUAGUUCCUUGAACCGCAUGGUCCAAGGAUGAAAGACGGUUUCGGCUGUCACUUACAGAUGGACCCGCGGCGCAUUAGCUAGUUGGUGGGGUGAUGGCUCACCAAGGCGACGAUGCGUAGCCGACCUGAGAGGGUGAUCGGCCACACUGGGACUGAGACACGGCCCAGACUCCUACGGGAGGCAGCAGUAGGGAAUCUUCCGCAAUGGACGAAAGUCUGACGGAGCAACGCCGCGUGAGUGAUGAAGGUUUUCGGAUCGUAAAGCUCUGUUGUUAGGGAAGAACAAGUGCGAGAGUAACUGCUCGCACCUCGACGGUACCUAACCAGAAAGCCACGGCUAACUACGUGCCAGCAGCCGCGGUAAUACGUAGGUGGCAAGCGUUGUCCGGAAUUAUUGGGCGUAAAGGGCUCGCAGGCGGUUUCUUAAGUCUGAUGUGAAAGCCCCCGGCUCAACCGGGGAGGGUCAUUGGAAACUGGGAAACUUGAGUGCAGAAGAGGAGAGUGGAAUUCCACGUGUAGCGGUGAAAUGCAUA
rnacentral:rRNA from 1 species